rnacentral:lncRNA from 1 species
ACCUCAGCUUUGACAUAUGUAAGUUCCCAGGCUGAGGUCAAAUCGGAGCUACAGCUACCGGCCUAGACCACAACCACCACAACGCAAGAUCUAAGCCAUGUCUGAGACCUACACCACAGUUCAUGGCAACACCAGAUUCUUAACCCACCAGGCGAGGGCAAGGAUCGAACCCAAGUCCUCAUGGAUCCUAGUCAGGUUCGUUACCGCUGAGCCAUGACAGGAACUCCUUUCUUUCUGUCUUUAAGGUAAAAUUUCAUUUUACCCCAACAGGGUUAAGGUACAAGGAGAUGCAGCCCAACAUGCCUAAUUAUCCCUUUCUAGCUGCUAAAAAAUAGUUUCUCUUUUCCUUGAAAUGUCUCUAUAAAGAGUGUAAAAAAAGAAAAAUCUGGCUAUAAUUUUAAAAAAAUUUAAAUUCUUUAUUAUAGUUGAUUUACAAUAUUGUCAAUUUCUGCUGCACAGCAAAGUGACCCAGUUAUACAUACGUUCUUUUUCUCAUAUUAUCUUCUAUCAUGUUCUAUCACAAGUGAUUGGAUAUAGUUCCCUGUGUUACACAACAGGACCUCAUUGCUUAUCCAUUCUAAAAGUAAUAGUUUGCAUCUAUUAACCUCAAACUCCCUCCAACCCACUCCCUCCCUCUCCCUCUUGGCAAUCACAAGUCUGCUCUCCAUGUCUGUGAGUCUGUUUCUGUUCUGUAGAGAGGUUCUUCAGUGCCAUAUUUUAGAUUCCACAUAUAAGUGAUAUCAUAUGGUAUUUGUCUUUCUCUUUCUGACUUACUUCACUUAGUAUGAGCAUCUCUAGUUCCAUUCAUGCUGCUUCAAAUGGCACUAUUUUGUUCUUUUUAUGCCUGAGUCAUACUCCACUGUGUUUGCACCACAUCUUCUUAAUCCAUUCAUCUCUCGAUGGGCAUUUACUUAUUUCCAUGUCUUGGCUAUUAUGAACAGCGCUGCAAUAAACAUAGGGGUGCAUGUAUCUUUUGGAAUGAAAGUUUUGUCUGGACAUAGCCCAGGAGUGGGAUUGUUGGAUGAUAUGGUAGUUCUAUAUUUAGUUUUGGCUAUGUUUUUUUUGUUGUUGUUUUUUUGUUAUGCUUUUUAAGGCUGCACUUGCGGCAUAUGUAGGUUCCCAGGCUAGAGGUCAAAUCUGAGCUACAGCUGCUGGCCUACAUCACAGCCACAGCUACUCAGGGUCCGAGCCACAUCUGCAACCUACACCACAGCUCACAGCAAUGCCAGAUGCCCAACCCACUGAGUGAGGCCAGGGAUCAAACCUGCAUCCUCAUGGAUACUAGUUGGACUCGUUUCCACUGAGCCACAACAGGAAAUCCCUUAGCUAAAAUUUUUUUGAUGGAGACCUUUAGUUCUCUUCUCUGCUCGCAUGCUAAACUGGAAAAUGGAAAGAAUGGAAGAUGGGGAAAGGUGAGGUUAUGAGAAAUCUUACAGAGGGGUAUACUAAGUCUGGUAUUCCUAACCAGCUUUAGAUAGUGUGGUUUUAGUAUUCUUCUAAUAAGCAACUGGAUAUGUGCCUUCGUGUGAAUAUUUAGUUGAAGAAAAAUACAUUGAAUUAGAAAGCAUCACUGCCCACCUAUAUCAGAAAACAAACAUUUUACUCUUUUGCUAUUAUGUAUUUUCAUUUGUCCUCUUUUUAAACUUUGCAUGCUAUUAAAAGUUAAGCUUUAUAUUAAUAACUUCACAGAAAGGCUGCAGCCAAAAGUCAUGAAUGCUACACAUUAAUGAGUAUUUCUUAUUGUCAAAGCCAGACAAUCUCAAGUAGUUUAAUAAAAAACUAUCAGCAAUAUUUAUCACUAUGGCAUCCAAGCUACUGUACAUUUGGUUAAAGAUAAGACAAAUAUCUGGCUUUAUCUGCUUUCUACAAGCCAGUUGUUAUCACCCCAGAUUGACUGCAACAGAUAUGCUUUUGAAACACAGAACCUGAACACAGCAUCUCUGAUUCUUCUUCCACCCACUUCUGUGACAGCUUUGGCCAGCAACAGCUGCAACUGAUAUAUUACUCUACUUGUUUUAAGAAUGUGGCAUAAAUAUAGAGAUUAGAUGACAUAAAGCUGGGAAUACUGGACACAGCUCUUAAAGGUUUUCCUGAGCUAGUCAGAAAAAAAAAAAUUAAGAUAUGUGAUGAAAGAAUUUGUAUGUGCCAUCAGUUACUUAGAAAACACAUGGACAAAAAUAUGCUUUCAGUAAUUAAUACAUUAUUAGUGGAGGAGGAGCAUGCAAAAGGUGCAAAGCACCCUAGUGGCUUUAAGACAAUAAAAAUACCAAUAGGACCACCAAGUGAAAUUCUUUAAAUCCCAUGUGCUAGGUCAUUUAUGUCUAUACACGUUAUUUUUAAAAAGAAACUCCCAACAGUCUCAGUGUCACCCAUCUGCAUAGCCCAACUUCAAUUAUUAUUGUAUAUCUUACACAUUAUUAUUGUAUAUCUUUAAUUGGCAAAGAUCAGCAACAGAAAGGAAACAUAUGUCUAGAAUCUUAAAACUAGAAAGACAUCACAUUGCAAGGCUGCUGUGCCAGUAAUUUCCGUUUUCGAGAGUUACACAUGCUUGAACAAUAGUUAUCCUACUAAGCUACAGUUCACUUAAGCUCCCAGUCCGGCUGCUGACUGAUGAAGGGUCAGGAGGGUAGCAGACUCUGGGCACACAACACUUCAAUCCUUUAUCAAAGAUGGCGAGAGGCCACGGACUCUAAUAUCGGAACAAAUACUUCCUUUUGCCCUACAGUCUGUUCCUUCCUAUGAUUGGCUAAAGCUCCAGUCCAUGGUUCACAGGAACAAAAAUAUGUUCCAUCCUUUAAAAACACAAUUUCAAAAGCAGUCAUGUAAUUCCUGAGCCAAGGGAAAUGUCUGUAUCCCUAUGGUAGUUAAUAACUAAGUGUAUCUAUCUGCCUUUUCAUGCUAACAUCCCACUAAAAAGCCCAUAAAGGGAUUUCUGAAACUUACUUCAGCAUCUUUUUACACAACUGCUUCACCAAGGCACGCGUCCAUCUGCAAAGGCAAUUAAGCCUUUUGGCACGUGCAUGAGGAACAUAUAGGAUGUUCUUAUCAGAGAGAGCAUUCAAUAUGUAGCAAACCACACUAUUACUUCCAUUUAUUUGAAGUGAAAAAAAUGACCACGUCAUCGUUAUACAUUAAUUCAGCAUCAAAGGGAUAUUUCUAUUUUGAAAGAAAAUGAGGAAAUAGAAUAUUAAUCCAAAUUGUUUGGAAUUCUGGUAAGUUGGAUUUGUCAUGGUAACUGUGAGUUAAUUUAAAAAAAAAGAUGAUGAAUAUUGAAGAAAAAAUCUUACUUUUUCACAAUUGAUGAGUGCAGUUUAUUGCCUCCAUAAAUAAGUAUUUUCUCCUUUUUGCUGUGAUUCUGAACAUCUAUUCAAAAUUAGAGAAUAAUAUAGAGUUAAAUAAGGGAGAAGGUUUGAGUAGAUACUGAAAACCCUAGAUCAAUGGUUUUCAACCAAGAAUGACUUUGCUUUGCUGGAAAAUUCCAGCCAUGUCUGGAGACAUUUCUGAUGUCAAGACUGAGCACAGGAGAUACUCCUGGUGAAGACUGAGCAGACAUCAGGGAUGCUGCUACUCAACCUAGAAUGUACAAGACAGCCUACCCACAACAAAGCAUUGUCUUGCCACAAAUGUCAGCUGUACCAAGGAUGAGAAAAACUGGUCUAGAUGUUGCUUCAAAUGAAAAAAGAAAAAGUCACCUCUUCUCUGAAAAAUAAAGUGCAUAUAGAAAAAGAAUUGCAUUAUGCGUAAACAAAAUGUUAAUACAUAAAAACAAAUUUAUUUGGCAUAUAUUUUAUACCAAUUACAUACAAAUUUCUUAUGAGAGUAGAAAAUGAUUUCAUAAAAAUAAUGUAUUCAAUGUAAUGCUAUGAUCAAUUCAAUCACUACUCAUGAGCUGGCAUGAAAUAAUUCUUCCAAUUUUGUGUUCUCAAUUUUUCUAAAAUUCUGAAGCACUGCACUACAUUUUCUCCAAUCACUGGAAUUUUAAUGGCAAACCAGAACCACCAGGAUAAGGAGAAAACUGAACUUUUCAAGCUGUUUAAUCUUAGAACCUCCCCAAAAAAGUAAAAUAUAUAUUAUAUAACAAGCAUUUUGUUUGUUUUUAUUUGUAUUAAAACAUAGUUGAGUUACAGUGUUGUGUUAAUGUCUGCUGUAUGGCAUAGUGACCCAGUCAUACAUAUACAUACAUUCUUUUUCUCAUAACAACCAGCAUUUUAAACUGUUCACAUGAAUCAACUCACAGUCAGAAGACUUACUUAAACCAAACUAAGGUUUAAAUUAUAUGUUAGUCACUUUACUCACUAACUUCAAGCUUAUCCACACAGUGACCCCAAAGAGGCCUGAGUUAAACUGUAUUCAUACAACUAACUUGAGUGAUACAUGUUCAACCAUUCAAUAGAUACUCAUUCCCUUCCUUCCUAGCGAAGGGGAAAGACUGACAAAUUCUCCCCGAGAACACUGACCCAAAAUGGCCCUGUGGAGAAAUAAAGCACAAUCUUCACUGAGAGGCCAGAAAGAGCUAAGAGAUGCUUACAACCUUCCAGCAGAGCGGUGUUGAGGCCAGCCCCAACAGCUACGCAUUAGUGCUCUGAGGAUCACAGGAGGUUCCCCAGACCCUCCCCUGCAAAAACCCUCCCCUCAAGUCUGCAGCAGCAUGUGGCCCUCAGUUCCUCUGGGAUUCAGCCCCAAGGUCAUUAUAAACAUAAUCAUUUGUAUACCGAAGGACCAUGCCUGGAAGGAAGGACGUUACCAUCCAAGUCCAGGAGUUCUGCUUUCUCACCUCCCUGUGCCCGUCCCUGGCCACUUGUCUAGGAGCCAGUCUUAGAAUGUCUCCAGGGCACAGUUCUCAUUUCUGUGACUUAGGGGUCGUUGUGAGGAUUGAAGGAAAGAAAUGUAUACGAUGCAACUUGGCCAGCUGCCGAGCACCGUAAAGCUCCUGUGUCUGUUCAGGGGUUUGUGUCCAGGAAGGGCAAGCACAGCUCUGCACCUUCUUCUGUCCCCUCCACGUGCAUCCUCUGCUCUAACUCCCCUCCCUACCCCUCUCUCUGCCUCUUAUGCCAUGGAGCCUCAAAUUCUACUAAAUUCCAUCAAAUAGAGCCUAAAACAGUAUAAGAGAUGGGACAUUGCAUCACUUCAACACAGAAUUGUACUUCCUCUUUUAAUCUAUAUUAAGCACAGACCGCUCUGGAUGCGUUCUUCCACUUAAGCUUCACAACAACCAUGUCAGGACAUGAUCCCUGUUUUACAGUUUGGAAAACUGAGGCACAAAGAGAUUUAAAGCUUGACCAAUUUUCACCUGGCUAGAAAUGCAGGAAUGGGGACGAGAAGCAUGACAGUUUAAUUCCAGAGCCUGCCCUCUCAACCACGACCAAGAACAGCCUCUCAUUUUAAGAAUAGUUAUUUAUAAAACCAAUAAGUAUCAGUUUUUUUAAAGGGAGCCUCAGGACAUGCAGAGAACCAAACAAUGCACCAUUACCACCCAAUGGAAACAGGCAGAAUCUUUUCCCUUCAUAAACCUCCCCAUCACCUCUUCUCCCUGACAAGCUUACAAUCUCAGGUAAGAGGCCAACAGCAGGACUAACGAAAUCAACAUUUUGCUAAGACAAGGUCCUAUCGGUGAACCAAAUUUUCUUAAGAUCAAGUAGAAAGUAGCUUCGCCAUUGAGAUGGUCACAGUCAUCUCUGACAUUGCAGAAGUAAAUUACUGGUAUGUUUAGUGGCAUAAUGGAAAACAAUGAAUACAUGAAAACAACAACAAUAAUAAUAACACUUGCUUAUCCACAAUACCUCCCAGCUAAUAGAAUGUUUCCAUAUACAUUAUCUUGUUAGAUCUGGAUCAUUCAGCCGUAAGGGUAAGAGAGGAUUUGCAAGAACUGGAAGGAAAAUAGCAAGUCACGGGUCAAAAUAACCAAGGAGAGAACUAUGGUCUCAAAUU